AGCGAACGCUGGCGGCAGGCCUAACACAUGCAAGUCGAACGAACCUUUCGGGGUUAGUGGCGGACGUGUGAGUAACACGUGGGAACGUGCCUUUAGGUUCGGAAUAACUCAGGGAAACUUGUGCUAAUACCGAAUGUGCCCUUCGGGGGAAAGAUUUAUCGCCUUUAGAGCGGCCCGCGUCUGAUUAGCUAGUUGGUUGAGGUAAUGGCUCACCAAGGCGACGAUCAGUAGCUGGUCUGAGAGGAUGAUCAGCCACAUUGGGACUGAGACACGGCCCAAAAUCCUACGGGAGGCAGCAGUGGGGAAUCUUGCGCAAGGGGCGAAAGCCUGACGCAGCCAUGCCGCGUGAAUGAUGAAGGUCUUAGGAUUGUAAAAUUCUUUCACCGGGGACGAUAAUGACGGUACCCGGAGAAGAAGCCCCGGCUAACUUCGUG
rnacentral:rRNA from 1 species